AGGCAACGAUCAGUAGCUGGUCUGAGAGGACGACCAGCCACACUGGAACUGAGACACGGUCCAGACUCCUACGGGAGGCAGCAGUGGGGAAUUUUGGACAAUGGGGGCAACCCUGAUCCAGCAAUGCCGCGUGAGUGAAGAAGGCCUUCGGGUUGUAAAGCUCUUUUGUCAGGGAAGAAAAGGUUGUGGCUAAUAUCCACAUCUGCUGACGGUACCUGAAGAAUAAGCACCGGCUAACUACGUGCCAGCAGCCGCGGUAAUACGUAGGGUGCAAGCGUUAAUCGGAAUUACUGGGCGUAAAGCGUGCGCAGGCGGUUUCGUAAGUCUGUCGUGAAAUCCCCGGGCUUAACCUGGGAAUGGCGAUGGAGACUGCGAGGCUAGAGUUUGGCAGAGGGGGGUAGAAUUCCACGUGUAGCAGUGAAAUGCGUAGAGAUGUGGAGGAACACCGAUGGCGAAGGCAGCCCCCUGGGUCAAAACUGACGCUCAUGCACGAAAGCGUGGGGAGCAAACAGGAUUAGAUACCCUGGUAGUCCACGCCCUAAACGAUGUCUACUAGUUGUUGGGUCUUAAUUGACUUAGUAACGCAGCUAACGCGUGAAGUAGACCGCCUGGGGAG
rnacentral:rRNA from 2 species